UUGAACGCUGGCGGCAUGCCUUACACAUGCAAGUCGAACGGCAGCACGGACUUCGGUCUGGUGGCGAGUGGCGAACGGGUGAGUAAUACAUCGGAACGUGCCUAGUAGUGGGGGAUAACUACUCGAAAGAGUGGCUAAUACCGCAUGAGAUCUACGGAUGAAAGCAGGGGAUCGCAAGACCUUGUGCUACUAGAGCGGCCGAUGGCAGAUUAGGUAGUUGGUGGGAUAAAAGCUUACCAAGCCAACGAUCUGUAGCUGGUCUGAGAGGACGAUCAGCCACACUGGGACUGAGACACGGCCCAGACUCCUACGGGAGGCAGCAGUGGGGAAUUUUGGACAAUGGGCGAAAGCCUGAUCCAGCAAUGCCGCGUGCAGGAUGAAGGCCUUCGGGUUGUAAACUGCUUUUGUACGGAACGAAAAGCUUCGGGUUAAUACCCUGGAGUCAUGACGGUACCGUAAGAAUAAGCACCGGCUAACUACGUGCCAGCAGCCGCGGUAAUACGUAGGGUGCAAGCGUUAAUCGGAAUUACUGGGCGUAAAGCGUGCGCAGGCGGUUUUGUAAGACAGAGGUGAAAUCCCCGGGCUCAACCUGGGAACUGCCUUUGUGACUGCAAGGCUAGAGUACGGCAGAGGGGGAUGGAAUUCCGCGUGUAGCAGUGAAAUGCGUAGAUAUGCGGAGGAACACCGAUGGCGAAGGCAAUCCCCUGGGCCUGUACUGACGCUCAUGCACGAAAGCGUGGGGAGCAAACAGGAUUAGAUACCCUGGUAGUCCACGCCGUAAACGAUGACUACUAGGUGUCGGGUGGCAAAGCCAUUCGGUGCCGCAGCCAACGCAAUAAGUAGUCCACCUGGGGAGUACGUUCGCAAGAAUGAAACUCAAAGGAAUUGACGGGGGCCCGCACAAGCAGUGGAGUAUGUGGUUUAAUUCGAAGCAACGCGAAGAACCUUACCUGAUCUUGACAUCCCGAUGACCGCUUCGUAAUGGAAGCUUUUCUUCGGAACAUCGGUGACAGGUGGUGCAUGGUUGUCGUCAGCUCGUGUCGUGAGAUGUUGGGUUAAGUCCCGCAACGAGCGCAACCCUUGCCAUUAGUUGCUACGAAAGGGCACUCUAAUGGGACUGCCGGUGACAAACCGGAGGAAGGUGGGGAUGACGUCAAGUCCUCAUGGCCCUUAUAGGUGGGGCUACACACGUCAUACAAUGGCUGGUACAAAGGGUUGCCAACCCGCGAGGGGGAGCUAAUCCCAUAAAGCCAGUCGUAGUCCGGAUCGCAGUCUGCAACUCGACUGCGUGAAGUCGGAAUCGCUAGUAAUCGUGGAUCAGCAUGUCACGGUGAAUACGUUCCCGGGUCUUGUACACACCGCCCGUCACACCAUGGGAGCGGGUCUCGCCAGAAGUAGGUAGCCUAACCGCAAGGAGGGCGCUUACCACGGCGGGGUUCGUGACUGGGGUG
rnacentral:rRNA from 1 species